GUGGGGAAUAUUGGACAAUGGGCGCAAGCCUGAUCCAGCAAUGCCGCGUGGAUGAAGAAGGUUUUCGGAUUGUAAAGUCCUUUCGACGGGGACGAUGAUGACGGUACCCGUAGAAGAAGCCCCGGCUAACUUCGUGCCAGCAGCCGCGGUAAUACGAAGGGGGCUAGCGUUGCUCGGAAUGACUGGGCGUAAAGGGCGCGUAGGCGGAAUGCUUUGUCGGGCGUGAAAUUCCAGGGCUUAACCUUGGGGCUGCGUUCGAGACGGGUAUUCUAGAGUUUGGAAGAGGGUCGUGGAAUUCCCAGUGUAGAGGUGAAAUUCGUAGAUAUUGGGAAGAACACCGGUGGCGAAGGCGGCGACCUGGUCCUUGACUGACGCUGAGGCGCGAAAGCGUGGGGAGCAAACAGGAUUAGAAACCCGUGUAGUCC
rnacentral:rRNA from 1 species